rnacentral:rRNA from 1 species
ACAGAGGGGGCAAGCGUUGUUCGGAGUUACUGGGCGUAAAGCGUGCGUAGGCGGUUUUGUAAGUUUGGUGUGAAAUCUCCCGGCUCAACUGGGAGGGUGCGCCGAAAACUGCAAGGCUGGAGUGUGGGAGAGGUAGGCGGAAUUCCUGGUGUAGCGGUGUAAUGCGUAGAUAUCAGGAGGAACACCUGUGGUGUAGACGGCUUACUGGACCAUAACUGACGCUGAGGCACGAAAGCGUGGGGAGCAAACGGGA